rnacentral:rRNA from 1 species
UUGGCCUACGGGACGCAGCAGUGGGGAAUAUUGAAAAAUGGGGGAAACCCUGAUGCAGCGACGCCGCGUGAGUGAAGAAGUAUUUCGGUACGUAAAGCUCUAUCAGCAGGGAAGAAAAUGACGGUACCUGACUAAGAAGCCCCGGCUAACUACGUGCCAGCAGCCGCGGUAAUACGUAGGGGGCAAGCGUUAUCCGGAUUUACUGGGUGUAAAGGGAGCGUAGACGGCAGCGCAAGUCUGGAGUGAAAUGCCGGGGCCCAACCCCGGAACGGCUUUGGAAACUGGGCAGCUCGAGUGCAGGAGAG